GCAUAUCAAUAAGCGGAGGAAAAGAAAAUAACAAUGAUUCCCCUAGUAACUGCGAGUGAAGAGGGAUAAGCUCAAAUUUUAAAUCUGUUUGGUUUUUACCAUGCAGAGUUGUAAUUUGAAGAAACGUUUUCUGUGUCUUGAAUUAAUUAAAAUCCUCUGGAAUGGGGUAUCAGUGAGGGUGACAGUCCCGUUCAUGGUUAAUUCUAAGACGCUUUAUGAUACGUUUUCGAAGAGUCGAGUUGUUUGGGAUUGCAGCUCAAAAUGGGAGGUAAAUUUCUCCUAAGGCUAAAUAUUGGCGAGAGACCGAUAGCGAACAAGUACCGUGAGGGAAAGAUGAAAAGAACUUUGAAAAGGGAGUAAAAUAGUACGUGAAAUUGUUGAAAGGGAAACGAUUGAAGUCAGUCGUACCGGCGGGAAAUCAGCUUCUCGAGUGGGGGUUCGCGGGUGCGUGGAGCUUCGGCCUUCGUCGCUUGUGACACCUUUUGCUUCUGGAGCGUACUUUUCCGUGUGGUAGGUCAACAUCGGUUUCGAUUGCCAUAAAAUGACCGGAGGAAUGUGGCUUCGAUCUUGUAUUGGAGUGUUAUAGCCUCUGGUAGAUGUGGUGGUUGGGAUCGAGGAUUGCAACGAAUACCCUUUGGGCUAUCCGCCUGACCUCUGAAAGUCGCUUGGGUACCGAAAGCUUGCUUACGGUCAUUUAAGUUGGCGGUCAAAAGGUUAGAACGUGAUUAAAUUCGUUAAGGAUGUUGACGUA
rnacentral:rRNA from 1 species